rnacentral:pre_miRNA from 15 species
AUCAGUGCUCACCGUAGAUACUCGAAGGGGAGGUUGUCCGUGUUGUCUUCUGUUCAUCUACGAUGAAACAUACACGGGGAAUCUCUUUUUUAGUAUCAAACCCCACCCUGUAGGCC